GAUGAACGCUGGCGGCGUGCCUAAUACAUGCAAGUCGAGCGAACAGACGAGGAGCUUGCUCCUCUGACGUUAGCGGCGGACGGGUGAGUAACACGUGGAUAACCUACCUAUAAGACUGGGAUAACUUCGGGAAACCGGAGCUAAUACCGGAUAAUAUAUUGAACCGCAUGGUUCAAUAGUGAAAGACGGUUUUGCUGUCACUUAUAGAUGGAUCCGCGCCGCAUUAGCUAGUUGGUAAGGUAACGGCUUACCAAGGCAACGAUGCGUAGCCGACCCGAGAGGGUGAUCGGACACACUGGAACUGAGACACGGCCCAGACUCCUACGGGAGGCCGCAGUAGGGAAUCUUACGCGAUGCGCGAAAGCCUGACGGAGCAACGCCGCGUGAGUGAUGAAGGUCUUCGGAUCGUAAAACUCUGUUAUUAGGGAAGAACAAAUGUGUAAGUAGCUAUGCACGUCUUGACGGUACCUAAUCAGAAAGCCACGGCUAACUACGUG
rnacentral:rRNA from 1 species